ensembl:lncRNA
CACUCCUUAAGGAUACGGAUCACGGGAAUCCGGUGCUCCCUUCCCCUCCCCCCCCUCCCCUCCCACCAACACACCAGCUUACCGAAGUUCGCCGAGCGAUAUUCCCGUAGUGGUGGGGGGCUGCUUGCUCUGGAAUGCACCUUGGCAGCNGCGGCGGAAAGACCCCGAAAGAGCAGCAGCAGCACUGCAAGACAGAGCAGGAGUCCCCGGCUCCGAAUACGCCCUGUCAAAGCCGCGGGUCGGAAGAGGCUCCUGUUGGGAGCAGUGACGACGAGAAAACGAUUCGGCGCCGGCCAAGGGGCUCUGGCGUUUGCCAAGUUCCUCGGAAGAAAAGGGCAACGAACAAGGGGGGCUCGCCGCGCACUGUCAGUAGUCGACGUCGUGGGACUUUCGCGCAGAGCAGCAGACUAGUUUCGGGUGGCCCUCAGGACAGGAGCGCGCGAGGGCGCGCGCCUCAGCCCACAACACACACACAGAGCAGUAGUACAGACGCGCGCGCCCGCCUGUCCGCGCCGCGGCCCGCCUCCUCUCCGUGGGACUCCCGCCUUUCUCCCCUUCCACGCCCCCCCAACUCCGUCGCCACUCCGCCCCACACUACCUUCGCCUGUUUCCUACUUCCUAGCUGGAAAUUCCCAGUGACGCAACGUUGCGAGAGAGAGACGACGGUCAGGACAAGAAUAAGCGCCUGGGGACACGGCGCUGACAGGGUUGGGUNCUUGUGCUGGCGGGGCCCAGCAGCGGGUGGCCAGCCCCGUUGCAUGUUUACUCGGAAGUCAGGUUCCCCCCCCCCCCCGGGGCUCGUCGUCGCUUUGUUUGCCGUAAGAGGUGCGGGCGAAACGGUAGCAAGCGGCCUUGGACGCCAGGGAGAAGAAGCGCCGUGNCAGCGAAGCGAGAAACGCCUGACCGGGCGAUACUGUGAAGAUGUGUGUCAUUGCAAUUUCUUCACAACCACUCCUUUAAUGAAACUGUUCCGGGAGAAACUGGUAAACUAGUAAUAUCUGAACCGGACAAAAAAGCAAUGGAGGUUUGUUUAAUCUUGAAAAUGCUCAAGUCAGUUCAGCCUUACUUUGAACGAAGCUUCUGCCAAAGGAAGCCCUUUUAUACACCCACGCAAAAAGGAAAUGGAGAAAGCGAGAGAAGAGCAUCUUCCCAUGCAAAGUUUGCAACUUGAAUAUGUAACAGGGUACAUACGUUAAGAUGUUUGGAAGAACAUAUAAAAACUGGCUUGACUGGAACUGGUAGAUCCUUACAGAUGUGAGUUUUAGUCCCAACUCUUGCAUAGCUCUUGGCAUGGUGCCCUCCAAUCCUCACUUCUUCCAUUGGAGCCCUUUCUCAGUGCUUGUCCAAUACACGCUACACAUGAGAACACAGGCAGGAGGCUUCUAUCUAUUUAGCUAAGCAAGUGAUGAUGAUGGAAAGACAAGCCCGUGUUUUCAGUCUUCUAGAUGGUAACAGAAACAGUAUAAGUGCCCUGCUGGAUGGGACCAGUAGCUUCAUCUAGUUCAGCAGCUUGCUCCCAUAGUACCCACCCAGUAGCAUAUGAAAAUCCAUGAGCAUGCAACUUGGGNUGCUUGUAGUCUUCCAACAGUUGACCUCAGAGAUAUUCUUAUCUCCAAUAACAACACUGUCACCACUGCUAGUAGCCACUAAUAUCCUUCUCUUCUAUGGAUUUUUCCAAACCUUUUUGAAGCCAUAUAAAAAGUGAUACAUACAUCCUGUGACAUUGAAUUAAUUGAAUUCUACAGUUUAACUCUCAGGGCAGGUCACAACAAUAGAAAUAUAAAAACCAUAAAACAGGGUAAAAUAUACCUAAAAUAUAACUCUCCCUCCCUGCAUUGUGCAGUUACUUCCUUUUUUCUGUCAUUAUUUGAGGAUCCAGUUUUACUGGGUGACUCCUGGUUUUACCAUUUUGGAGAAGGUAAAAAACCUCUUCAUCCAUUUUGUCCACACAAUGCAUAAUUUUAUGCACCAUUUCAAAGCAAUGAGUCUAACAAUGUUGUAGACGCUUAACGGUUUUAAGUGAUAAUGUGUUUUUCAUCUUACCGAAGGACUGACGAAACGCAUUUUGAGAUAUUGGGUUCUGCUCCGCUCUUUUUCUGUGUGAAAGCUGGAUUUCUGCCCAAAAGUCCUGUCUCAGCUGAUGUCUUUGGCUGGCAGACUGGGUAGGACUGCAAGUGAGUGAACUGUAAAAAGAAAGAAUGGCUUGCUCAGCUGUCUCCUCUUUGGGCAGCCUUUGGGACUGGAUUAAAGUUGCUGGAAAAAGGGCAAGCAAACAGCACUGGCAGAAGUUGCUAAUGUUCCUUGACUUUGUACCUGUUUGCAUUUACCUUCUGGUGAGAGCUCCCAGUUGCUCACUGGACAGACCCGUCUGCACUCCAAACAUUGUCCAUAGAUUGACUGGGAGCAAUUGGAUGGUUCCCGGUCAGCAGCGUUUGCACCUUCUUCUGCGAGUGAAUGCUGCGGGUGAGCAGUGGCGUUCCAUGUCCUGAUUGCCAUGGCAAAGGCUGGACGUUGCCACGGUCACUGUCAUGGAGAUCUGGCCUACCAUCUGCACUUCCAAGUUUGGGCCAUUANUAGCCCCUGAAGUGCGGAUGACCACCUCCAUACCUGAUCCCUUCCAACCUGGUAUGGUACAGUUAUGCUGUUCCCACACCAUACCAGCCUGUAAAGUGCUUACAAGCCCUUUGUCUCUGAAUAUACCUCAUAGAAAUAAAUGGGUAGACAGCUAAAUAAGCA